AGGAAAUCAAAUACAAGCAAUAAGUUAAAAAGAACAAAGAAAAAAAGAACUAUAUCUGAUCUCUAGAACUUUCAUCUUCUAGAGGUAAAGUUUUGCCCGGUGCUUGGGAUGCUCGAUCUCCAGGACUACCAUGAUCUGAAAUCAAAAUCACUUCCAACAUUUUAUCAGCAGGCUCAAAGGUGGCAGCAAUGUUUACAGAGGGAACUAUAAUUUUAAUUCUCUUAAUAUCUCUUUCAUUUUGCUGGUUUGGAUUCCUCUUUCGAAAAGCCUCUUGAGGAGCAACAUUUGGAGGGUUAACCCUCUAGCUAUAACCCUGUUCGGAGUCGGGUCAAGAACAAAGUCACGGCUUUAACUAGAAAAUAAGACUUGCACCUGGACCCUAGUCUAGAGUGGUAAUGCUUCGCUAUUCCACCAAGUCUGGUAUUCAACAUCGAUGUUUUGAUAUGUAUCCCUCACAUACUCUGGAAUAUGAAAUACAGACCAACUUUUCGUCCGAGUCAAAGACAACCAAAUGCGAUACAUGUCGCCUACAUUGGGGGCAAUGCCUAACUUUCUUGGUGAGCCGGGAAGUUUCUGUCUAAAAUCAAGCUGUCUCACAGACCUGUGAGGAUUAUAAACCUAAAAAAUGAAAGGUGAAUUUCUUCGACGAUAAGAAACAAAUCCAGAUCGAAUACUCAUCAUGAAUUCUGAAGUAUUUGCAAACCUCGGUUGGUCAUUUACACGUAUAUCAGGAUGAGAUAUGAGGGUAACGGAUUUCAGCAAAAGUCAUUGGUGUCCAUCAUUCUACGGAUAAGAUCCCGACAAUCAACAAAAUUUUUCUCUCAAGACUGAAAACCAUUCAGAGUGCCAACAUAUUUUCGAAUUAUAGGGCGAGAAUAACUUUUGUUUACACGAGCAUAAACACCUUAGACAUAAUAAGUUGUCGCCCAAGCAUAAAAAAAAUGACCAGGAAAUGAAUGUGAAAUUGAGCCAAGGUAUGGGUUUGUCUGAUAGUUAGAUGUUCG
rnacentral:lncRNA from 1 species